rnacentral:rRNA from 1 species
AAGGGUAUGGCUGUUCGCCAUUUAAAGUGGUACGCGAGCUGGGUUUAGAACGUCGUGAGACAGUUCGGUCCCUAUCUGCCGUGGGCGCUGGAGAAUUGAGGGGGGCUGCUCCUAGUACGAGAGGACCGGAGUGGACGCAUCACUGGUGUUCGGGUUGUCAUGCCAAUGGCACUGCCCGGUAGCUAAAUGCGGAAGAGAUAAGUGCUGAAAGCAUCUAAGCACGAAACUUGCCCCGAGAUGAGUUCUCCCUGAGACUUUAAGUCUCCUGAAGGAACGUUAAAGACUAUGACGUUGAUAGGUCGGGUGUGUAAGCGCAGCGAUGCGUUGAGCUAACCGAUACUAAUGAACCGUGAGGCUUAACCUU